rnacentral:rRNA from 1 species
AACGAACGCUGGCGGCAGGCCUAACACAUGCAAGUCGCAGGGGAAGCUUGGCUUCGGCUAAGUGGAGACUGGCGCACGGGUGAGUAACGCGUGGGAAUCUGCCCUGGGGUGGGGAAUAACCGCUGGAAACGGCGGCUAAUACCGCAUACGCCUUACGAGGGAAAGCUUUCGAGUGCUCUGGGAGGAGCCCGCGUCCGAUUAGUUUGUUGGUGGGGUAAUGGCCCACCAAGGCAUCGAUCGGUAGCUGGUCUGAGAGGAUGAUCAGCCACACUGGGACUGAGACACGGCCCAG